AUGGCACUAGAGACUGGAGACCUGUAUUUAUCCACAGAACAAGUUCUGCACAUGCAGCAGUGAUGAAAGCUUGCCCACAUUGCCCUGCCACUGUGCCUCCACUCUCUCCUGGCUGGAGCACUUUUGAAGGUUUGAGCAUGGUUCAGAUUCCAAAAGGUUCCAAUUAAAUAUCAAG
rnacentral:sRNA from 1 species